UUUUUAAUUUAUACCGAAAAUAGCAUCAUUUUUUAAUUUAUACCGAAAAUAGCAUCAUUUUUUAAUUUAUACCGAAAAUAGCAUCAAUUUUUUUUUUCUUUUCUGCAUAAGUAAAACAAGUAAUAUAUAUAUAUAUAUAUAUAUAUUUAUAACAUAUUUAUAAGCCCCUAUUCACAUGUGUUUUAAACUCUUUUCCAUUUUUGUUACUCAAAAUAUGUUAUAUAUAUACAUAUAUACAUAUAUAAAGACACCAAUUAAUGUAUUAUAAGUUUAAAUGAUGGGCACAGAAAACUGCGAAAUAUGGAAAGAUUACUCAAAUGCGCUGAGGUUAUAUGAAAAGAUACAAAAAUUGUACGAUGAAUAUAAUAAAAAAAAAAAAAAAAAAAUAAAUAACAGUAAUAGUAGUAGCAGUACUGUUAAUAAAGAAAUGCCAAGUAACUGUGGUUUAGUACAAAAUGUAGAAACAACGAAACACAGUAAUUUGAAAAAUCAUUAUAUGAUAAAACCAAGUAUGUAUAAUUAUAAUGUAGUUAAUUAUUAUAAAGAUGAAUAUAUGUUAAAAACAAAAAUUGUGGAACUGUCAGAAGAUAUAAUAAAUGCAAUUAAUCAAAUUUAUGACAUUUUUCGUCUUUGUAAUGAGAAUGUAUUUUUAUCAUUUAAUGGAGGGAAAGAUGCUGUUGUUGUUUUACAUUUAUUUCGAUGUGCUUAUGCUAAAUAUAUUAAUGACACAAAAGGAAAAAUAAAGAAACCUAAUUUAUGUUAUUUUAAAGACCACACAAACGAAUUUCCAGAAGUAUAUCAAUUUUUAAAUGAAUGUGUUUAUAUAUAUGAUUUUAAUAUACGUAUAAUUAAGGGAACCUGGAAAACAGGUAUAAAUAAUUUUAUAAAUGAAUUACAAAAGACGUAUAAAAAUGAGCCUAAUUCGUGUUUUAAUAAUACAACUCCAUCUACUACUACCAAUACGUGCAAUCCUAACACGAGUAAUACCAAUACAUGCGCUGACAAUACGUGCACUACCAAUACGUGUACUACCAAUAUGUACAAUAACAACACGUUAACUACCAAUACAUUCACAACUAAUACACUUACCAUAGCCUUCGUUAAUGGGACACGAUAUGUUGA
rnacentral:lncRNA from 1 species